rnacentral:rRNA from 1 species
CAGCAGCCGCGGGAAUACGUAGGGUGCGAGCGUUAAUCGGAAUUACUGGGCGUAAAGCGUGCGCAGGCGGUUGUGUAAGACUGGUGUGAAAUCCCCGGGCUUAACCUGGGAACUGCGCUUGUGACUGCACAGCUAGAGUAUGGCAGAGGGGGGUGGAAUUCCACGUGUAGCAGUGAAAUGCGUAGAGAUGUGGAGGAACACCGAUGGCGAAGGCAGCCCCCUGGGCCAAUACUGACGCUCAUGUACGAAAGCGUGGGGAGCAAACAGGAUUAGAUACCCCUGUAGUCCCUGUCUCUUAUAC